UACACCAGUUCUCGUACGAUCACCGAAGUUAAGACACGUUGAGCCUUGUCAGUACCUAGAUGGGUGACCACUUGUAAAUGC